GCCGCACUAGCGCGGACGCCCCACCUGACCCCAUGCCGAACUCAGAAGUGAAACGCCGUAGCGCCGAUGGUAGUGUGGGGUCUCCCCAUGCGAGAGUAGGGAACUGCCAGGC
rnacentral:rRNA from 1 species